rnacentral:rRNA from 1 species
GUAGGUGAACCUGCGGAAGGAUCAUUACCUAGAGUUUGUAGACUUCGGUCUGCUACCUCUUACCCAUGUCUUUUGAGUACCUUCGUUUCCUCGGCGGGUCCGCCCGCCGAUUGGACAACAUUCAAACCCUUUGCAGUUGCAAUCAGCGUCUGAAAAAACAUAAUAGUUACAACUUUCAACAACGGAUCUCUUGGUUCUGGCAUCGAUGAAGAACGCAGCGAAAUGCGAUAAGUAGUGUGAAUUGCAGAAUUCGGUGAAUCAUCGAAUCUUUGAACGCACAUUGCGCCCCUUGGUAUUCCAUGGGGCAUGCCUGUUCGAGCGUCAUUUGUACCUUCAAGCUCUGCUUGGUGUUGGGUGUUUGUCUCGCCUCUGCGUGUAGACUCGCCUUAAAACAAUUGGCAGCCGGCGUAUUGAUUUCGGAGCGCAGNACAUCUCGCGCUUUGCACUCAUAACGACGACGUCCAAAAGUACAUUUUUACACUCUUGACCUCGGAUCAGGUAGGGAUACCCGCUGAACUUAAGCA